UACGUAGGGUGCAAGCGUUGUCCGGAAUUAUUGGGCGUAAAGAGCUCGUAGGCGGUCUGUCGCGUCGGCUGUGAAAUCCCGAGGCUCAACCUCGGGUCUGCAGUCGAUACGGGCGGACUGGAGUUCGGCAGGGGAGACUGGAAUUCCUGGUGUAGCGGUGAAAUGCGCAGAUAUCAGGAGGAACACCGAUGGCGAAGGCAGGUCUCUGGGCCACUACUGACGCUGAGAAGCGAAAGCAUGGGGAGCGAACAGG
rnacentral:rRNA from 1 species